AUUGAAUGCUGGCGGCAGGCCUAACACAUGCAAGUCGAGCGGAUGAAGGGAGCUUGCUCCUGGAUUCAGCGGCGGACGGGUGAGUAAUGCCUAGGAAUCUGCCUGGUAGUGGGGGAUAACGUCCGGAGACGGGCGCUAAUACCGCAUACGUCCUGAGGGAGAAAGUGGGGGAUCUUCGGACCUCACGCUAUCAGAUGAGCCUAGGUCGGAUUAGCUAGUUGGUGGGGUAAAGGCCUACCAAGGCGACGAUCCGUAACUGGCCUGAGAGGAUGAUCAGUCACACUAGAACUGAGACACGGUCCAGACUCCUACGGGAGGCAGCAGUGGGGAAUAUUGGACAAUGGGCGAAAGCCUGAUCCAGCCAUGCCGCGUGUGUGAAGAAGGUCUUCGGAUUGUAAAGCACUUUAAGUUGGGAGGAAGGGCAGUAAGUUAAUACCUUGCUGUUUUGACGUUACCAACAGAAUAAGCACCGGCUAACUUCGUG
rnacentral:rRNA from 1 species